rnacentral:misc_RNA from 1 species
AACGCAUCUUGCGCUCCUUGGUAUUCCAUGGAGCAUGCCUGUUUGAGUGUCACGUAACCCUCACCCUUGUGAUGUCAAAGUCUCGAGGCGUGGAUUUGGACUGUGCCGUAGCCGGCUCGUCCCGAAAUGCAUUAGCUUGCGCUUUUUAGAGUGCUCGGCUCGGUGUGAUAAUUAUCUUCGCCGUUGCCUUAGGCCUCUUCUGUGGUGCUGCUUCCAAUCGUCCCUCGAGGACAACCAAACUUUUAAGCAUUGACCUCAAAUCAGGUAGGACUACCCGCUGAACUUAA